rnacentral:rRNA from 1 species
GGGGGCAACCCUGACCGAGCAACGCCGCGUGAGUGAAGAAGGUUUUCGGAUCGUAAAGCUCUGUUGUAAGUCAAGAACGGGUGUGAGAGUGGAAAGUUCACACUGUGACGGUAGCUUACCAGAAAGGGACGGCUAACUACGUGCCAGCAGCCGCGGUAA